rnacentral:lncRNA from 1 species
UCUGCUCAGAACCUACUGUUUGGAUCAGGGUACCCUUGGGUGUCAUCAGCUUGAUAUUGGAUUCUUUUUCUUCAUGUUGACAGCCAUAUUACGAGAGAGAGAGAGAGAGAGAGAGAGAGAGAGAGAGAGAGAGAGAGAGAGAGAGAGAGCGAGAGAGAGAGCUAUUUAUUCUGGGUAAUCUGGGCUGGAUGGUGGGCUAUAAGAGAGGUUAAAGAGCCCUUAUUAAAGUAGGUUUUGAAAAAUAUAAGCCUACAAGACAUGAGCUAGGCAAAAUGUUAUCAAGGUAAACCAGCUUAUUACGCAAGGGGAUUUAUCUGUAUUAAAAAUAUUUAGACUGGUUUUCCCUUCUAUGAAUAUUGAACAAUACAGUCACAUAUGACUUCAUGACUGAUAGAAAAAAAUCAUUAAAGAAGAUUAAACCAUUCUUUAGUAAAUUUAGAUGGUCAAUGUAUUUUGGACCUAUAGACAUAUGGGAACAUACAUAGACAAGUGAACAAAUGUUGAAGAAUAAAAUGAAGGAAUGUUUUAGGUACCUCUAAAGAAAGCAACCUACGUGAUUGAGAAGGAAGCUGAAACACCUUCUGUGACCUUGUCUUGGAAGCCACUCAUUGUAGCUUCAGUUGUCUUCUACUGUAUUGGUCACGUAUACAUAAUGAAUAUAUCUCUGAUACACAAUGAAAAAUAGCUACACUGGGUAAAGGAGACAAUGUCAGCUCAAAGAGGGCCAGGGAAUUCAAUAUGGCUGCAUUGCAUGAAGAAGGCUGUGCAUGGAGAAGAGGCUGGUUAGAGGAGAUGACACUAAAUCCUGGUGAGUCUUGAGCUCUAUACAGGGAGUGGAAAGCACUCAGCAAUGAUUUAGCCAAGGGGAGAGAGAGAAGAUGUUUGAGGAGAGAGACAGCAUUAUCAUACACAUGCAAAAAAAAAAAAAAAAAAGAGGGGGCAAUAAGUAGGAGGCACUAAGUUUAGUGAGUAUCUCUGGUUGAAGAAAUGAUGACUAUUUAAAAAUGAUUACUAUUUUAGAUCAUCUCCAGUUUCCAAUCUUGUGUGUGUGUGUGUGUGUGUGUGUGUGUGUGUGUGUGUGUGUGCAUAUGUCUGUGCAUGUGUGUGUGUGUUUGCUUUUGGUAACAAUUUUUAAACAGAACACAUGAAGUUGUUUUUAAAGGAUAAGACACAAAUGUGGCAGAGAAGAGGCUAGUGAAAGCGGUGUCUAGAGAACUCGGUUCUGGAGGCUAAAGGGGGUCAGCAGAGGAGUGUUGUCCUUUAAUGGUGGCUUGUGGCAUCCAAAACUCCUGAUGAAUUAUUUUAUGUUAUGAAAUAUUAUGAGGUGGGACCCUUAUGAGAUAUUUAGAGAUACAUAGCCUUAGUGGACUCGUGGAUUGAUAUAUCUUGGGAGAGUGUCUGUUUUUACAACUCUAGUGUGAUCCCUGUCUCAUCCUAUAUGUGAUGUGACGUGCACUUUGAGACUCUUAUCAGCAAUAAGGCCAUCCCCAGAUAUAGGGUCUUGAUCCUGAACCAGAACAAUGGGAAAAAAGAAACUUUCCUCUCUAAUUUAUUAGCAACAGAAAUGGACUCAAAUGGUGGUUUUUUUUUUUCAGGUGUUCUGUUAGCGACAGAGAGAAGACUAGUGUAGACAUAGAAGGAAGAACACAUGGAGGAUAGAACUCAUAACAGGGAUCACAGUCUACCAGAUGGGAGCCAAGAUCCAAAAGAAACAGUCAGGGAGAACACUACAUCUGCAUGAUGCCCAUAGCAAGUGAUUCACUCCAGAUAUUCUGUUAGAAGUGGAACCUGCUUCCUUAUGUCUUCUGGGUAAAGUACAGAGUUGGUAAUGCUACCGCAAGGCAAAUCAGUCCAAAGUACAUGAGGUUCCCCCCAUCCCCACCUGUGAUAAGUAUGUGGCUUUAUCAAGAGAAUUAGAACCUGGUGGUAUACUUCAAGAACGCAUGGACCCAAGCGAUGAACUUUUCUUGUCUGGGAAGGGCUAUGUAGAUGAUGGAGCCAAAGAACCUUCUAGCAUGUUCAUUGAGUUACUAGCAGGAAAGGAGAGGAACAGGAGGCCUUGCAACUGGUAGAGGUUGAAAAGGAGACAAACACGCAACAAUCUCUGUGCUGAGGCACACGGGCAGGCAAUAGCACAGCCAUUUCCUUACUGUCCUAAAGAAACCUAUUCUCUGAUGUCCCCUCUGUCCUCCUCAUAGGCUGCCACCUGAACUGCCACAAAAGUGAGUCAUCCACCUCCUCUAAACACACUUGUGCAUGAAGGGUAGCCCUGAGAAAAAUCUAUAGCAUGCUUAAGUUCUGAAGGGCCUGGAUUUUCUGGGUCCGUUGAGGACAAGAAAGAUGGAGCCUUCAGUUUCCUGAUCUUUGCACUAUGUCACUGUGCCUUUGCUGUGCCACCUCCUUUGCUUGCCACUGCUGUUGCCAGGCCAGGGAGUCACAGCCUUGGCAGCCAAGCUCCAGGAGACCUGAGUCCAAAACUGUAGGUUUGGCAGUGAUGAGCAGUUGAAGAGCAGCAGGCCCCUAAACUAUAAACAUCGGAAGUGAAAAUUCUUUUUAAUCGCAAUGAAUGAAAAGCUCUCUGGAUCCCCUGGAAGAUGGUGUGAAGGAAGCCCUCUUCGGCGCCAGUUCGAGAGCCAACCAGGAUGCUCCAAGGUCAGGUAUGGAAGAGGUAGGUGUGCUGAACUUGGUGCCCACGACGCCCGCCCACUUUACCACAGCCUUAGGAUACACACACCCUGAUUAUACCCUCACCCAGAACUAGUAACCGGGACUUCUGCGACGCCACUUAAAAACAGUAACAUCACAACCAACAUAUGUCCUCACGAUUAAACAGCACCUGAUAGCUGGAGCCGGCAUGACAAUCAUCUAAACAAUCCCAAACAAAAGAAAGGUUCGGUUUAACAUUGAUUACCCCCUUGUGAUCUAUACCGUUGGAUAUUCAGGUAUUACUGUAUGUGUAACAGCUAAAACAAGAGAGGAAGGAAAAUAAAGGCAGUGGACCUGAACGAGGGGCAUCGACAAUAGCAGGAGAAAUGUGCAGUGGAAAUGAUCAAAACAAGGUACUGUGGAAGAAAGACGUGAGCAUGAUUAUUCACCGGCUGAUUCCCACGUGGACACCACUCUUGAAGUCAUUCCCCUGGCCUUCUCCUUUUCCCUCUCGCUUUCCCAUUAGGAGGAGCCCAUCAUUCUUCAUGUUAUCAACAUGAUUAAUAUAGUAGGUGGC